GUUGAAUUCAAGUUUACAUGUUAUUAAUGUUGAAAAGAUGUGAAUAUUUUCAGAGCACAACUUCAGGCAAGGCCUGAACAAUUAUAUUUAAAGAUUUGAUUUUUAUAUACAGUAUUUACCAAACCAGGCAAGCAAUGGAAUAGUGUUUUGUUAAAGCUCUUACAUGGCGGUACUCUGGCACUUUGGUUCUGAUCAUAUU